rnacentral:ncRNA from 1 species
AUUGUUGCUUGGAAGAGGAGUAGUAGAAACGAACGCAUUUCAGAGAGCGCACGGUGCUGAGAGUGUGUAUGCGGGACAGUCGAACUUACCUCGGAGCAUGAUCGAUCGAUCCGGUUAAAGACCGUUAUUUCUUUUGAGGUCUGUCUCUUUGACAGAUAAAUAUAGGUGGUACCACGUUGAUAACGUCCUAUGA